rnacentral:rRNA from 1 species
GGGGGAAUAUUGCACAAUGGGCGAAAGCCUGAUGCAGCAACGCCGCGUGAAGGAAGAAGGUCUUCGGAUCGUAAACUUCUGUCCUAGGGGAAGAAGAACUGACGGUACCCAAGGAGGAAGCCCCGGCUAACUACGUGCCAGCAGCCGCGGUAAUACGUAUGGUGCAAGCGUUAUCCGGAUUUACUGGGUGUAAAGGGAGCGCAGACGGCAUGGCAAGCCAGAUGUGAAAGGUGGGGGCUCAACCCCCAAGCUGCAUUUGGAACUGUCAAGCUAGAGUAUCGGAGAGGUAAGUGGAAUUCCUAGUGUAGCGGUGAAAUGCGUAGAUAUUAGGAGGAACACCAGUGGCGAAGGCGGCUUACUGGACGAUAACUGACGUUGAGGCUCGAAAGCGUGGGGAGCAAACAGGAUUAGAUACCCUGGUAGU